UUGUUCAAUUUUUACCACUAAAUGAAGUUGUAAUGUAAAUAAACGAGUUGUUAAGAAUGUAAGGAUGAAACAAAUGUUUAUUUUUACUGAGAAUGCCACUGGAUAUGACCAAAACAAGUACAAAAUUAGUUGAAAGGUCCUCUGAUACUAGGUUUCUUGACACCAUUAUUGAACACUUUAAUUUAAAGAAAUCUGAUAAGGUUGAGCUUGUCAAAGGUUCGAUUUCUGUAGUUUUAAAAGAACAAUAUGAAAAUGAAUCAAAGUUGCUGAAGCAGUUUUGGUUGAAAUUUAAAUCCGAGCAGUGUUUUAGUUCAAAAGAUUCAGAAAGAUUUUUACAGAUAUUUCGAUGUUUACUUAAAUCAUGUUUUUCUAAAAGUGUUUGCAAAGUUCCUUUAGAAAAUAUUUAUCGCACUUUUCAAUGUUUUAAAUUAUUAUUGAGAGACAGUUGUUUUCAGAAUGAGUUUGUAGCAAGUAAUGGAUUGCUUCAGUUAAAUGAGUAUUUAAAGAUAUACAGUGAAAAACAUAUACAAUUUAGAAGUGAUGGUUCCUCAACUAGAAUUCUUAAAGAAAUUAUUAGUAUCUGCCAAAAGUUUGCAUCAGAGCAAAGCAGUAAAAUGAUUUCUUAUGGAAUGCAUCAAAGCUUGGUUUUGCUUCUUACUUCUACAGAUAUAGCUAUUCUCCAUCUUUCAUUAUACACACUUCUUGGGCUUACCAAAAGAGAAGAUGCUAGAGAAGCUGUGUGUGCUAUGAACAGUGUUGAAAUUCUUGUUCAAAUUACAGCAGAAUAUGAUGAUUCAUCUAGACAUUUGGCUGUCAACUUACUUCGACAGUUAUGCACAGAAAAAUAUGCAAGAGAGCAAGUUAAAAUAUUUAAUGGAAUUCCUAUUCUUUUAAGCUUAUUGAGAAGUGACUCAAUGAAAUUGCUUUGGAAUGUGGUCUGGAUUAUUGUUCAAUUAUGUGAGGACAGUGACAUUAGUAAUGAGAUUCGGGUUCUUGGAGGAAUUCCUUUACUAAUUGCUUUGCUUCAAGAUCCUUUUUUGCAAAGAAAAGAUUCUUUGUCUGAUAACACUGUUGCUGGUAUUGGUGGAGCUGAUGUUAGUAAUGGUGAAAAUAUAAACCAAGACUUAAAAAGUGAACAAAAGCACACUUUGCAGGCUGCUGUAUGUGCUGCUUUAACUGAGCUUGUGCUAAAUGAUACCAAUGCAAGAUGUGUUGUUCAGGCAAAUGGAAUAUAUAUUAUUAUGAUGUUGAUAUUUUCUACCCUUAAUGAUGUCACAAACUCGCAUGGACACAAUGAAACUUCUUGUGAAAAUAAUAGUUCCACAAACUUUCUAGAGCGUAGUGGUGUCUCCUGUGAAAAUAGUGUUUCUACAAACUUUUUAGAACAAAACGGUGAAAAAAAAAGUGUUACAAUCUCUCAAGAACAUAAGUAUGUCUCAAGCGAACAUUGUUCAAUAAACUCUUUUGAUAAAUCAUUGUUAAGUGGUCGUGGGUCAAUUGGUAAUGAACAAUUGCAGAAAAAUGCAUUUCGCACUCUUAGGUUUUUGUUUAGCAUGGAAAGAAAUAGGCAGUUGUUUAAAAGGUUGUUCCCUGCUGAAUUGUUUGAAAAAUUUAUUGAUGUUGGACAUUAUCAGAGAGAUUUAAAUUCAUAUAAUGGACUUGUCACUUAUGUAAACCAGCUUACAUUAAUGGAAUAUCAAGAAAUUAGAGAAAGAAUUCAAACAAUAAAUUUGAAUAAGGCACCAAGUUUUUAUGUACAAUCUUAUGCUGUUUAUGAACACCUUGGUACAGGAGCAUUUGGAAGUGUUUAUAAGGUGAAAAGAAAAGGUGGCCAAUCAUAUUUGGCAAUGAAAGAGAUUUCAGUUCGACAUCCAGAAUUUGGAAAGGGGAGAGAAAGAAGUGAAAAUAUUGACAGUCUUAUAAAUGAAUGUUCAUUUGUGAAAAAGCAGUUGAAUCAUCCGAACAUUGUAAAAUACCACAAAGCAUUCUUAGAAGGAGAUAAGUUAUAUAUCAUAAUGGAUUUAAUAGACGGAGCUCCAAUCGGUGAACAUUUUAAUUCGUUGAAAGAAAAAGGUCAAAGAUUUUCCGAAGAACGUCUUUGGAACAUUUUUGUUCAGAUGGUCCUUGCUUUACGCUACAUUCAUAAAGAGAAGUUUAUUGUUCAUCGCGAUUUGACUCCUAACAAUAUAAUGCUCGGUGAAGAUGAUCAAGUUACAAUAACUGAUUUUGGGUUAGCAAGACAAAAAAAUCCUGAAGCAAGCAAAUUAACUUCCAUGGUGGGAACAAUUGUAUAUUCUUGUCCUGAGAUAGUAAAAGGCCUCCCAUAUGGUGAAAAAGCAGAUAUCUGGGGAAUCGGAUGCAUACUUUAUCAAAUGGCCAUGCUUGAGCCUCCAUUUUUUUCCAAUAAUAUGUUAUCAAUGGCGACUAAGAUUGUUGAUGGUUUAUAUGAACCUCUUAAAGAUGGCGUUUAUUCCACUUUGGUGACUCUUGUAAUACAACGUUGCCUAACAGUUUCUGCAGAAGAAAGACCUGAUAUUAUACAAGUUGCCGCCAUGAUACCAGAUAUUUUAAUGCAGCGUAUUGAAAAAUUACGAAACCAAAAUAUUAAUAUUCAUAAAAAAUUUGAAAAAGAACGGAAGCGAGUUCAAAAGCAAACAGAUCAUUUACAAAAUCAUAGACAAACAUAUUAUGAGGGUUUUUCAGAUAAAAGUUUAGAUAAUCCUCCGUCAUUUCGUGAUGAAAAUCCCUCCUCAUUUCGUGAUGCUCAACAAUUAAAAACAAGACCAUUACAAAUAAAAAGAAUCCAAAAAGCUGAGCAAAGGUCUUCUGAGUCUUGGGAGAGCAUGGAUGAAGAUUCUUUAAAAGAAAAUGAUUCUCUUUUGGAAGGACAAAGGAGGUGGCAUAUAUCUUCAAAUCUCUCUCAUGUUUCUAACACUACUGUUGUAUUAGAUCAUAUGAAGAGAACAAAUAGUUGCUCUUAUUUGGAUAGCAUGAAGUUACUUGAAAAACUUCCCCAAAAAUUUCGUCCAACCUCUGCUCAAACUACAUUAAGUAUAUCUCCACGCAAGGUCCGAGAGAUUAAUGAUCCUAUUCUUUUGAUUCUUUCUCAGCUUCAUAAAGUUAUUUUUAUAUCUCAGCUCCCUCCUUCCUUACAUUAUGACCAGAAUCGGAGAAUAAUUGAACAAUAUAAAAGGUCAUUGUUCACAAUGCGCAGUUCUGCAACUAAUUUAAAAAAUGAGAUUAAAAAGCUAAUGGAAGGUUCAAAGGAAUAUGUUGACUCCUCAUUUUCAGUUUUGAAUUCAAUGUCUUCUCAUGAGAAAACGCAUGACAAUCUAACUUAUGAAGAUCUGCAGAAAAUUUACUAUUGGAACAUGGUUAUUAACAAUAUGACAUCAUCAAGGAAUUAAUAGAAACUCGAGUAUCCUGCUUCGGCACUCGAAAUAGAACGAUUAUGUCUCGAGUAUCCUGCAUCGGCACUCGAAAUAGAACGAUUAUGUCUCGAGUAUCCUGCUGCGGCACUCGAAAUAGGACGGUUAUGUCUCAAGCAUCCUGCUGAGGCACACGAACAAAACCAUUGGGUCCCAUAUCAUCUUAUUAAUUAAAUAUAACGUGAAACGAUAACAAGAAAAAUUUUACGUAAAUAAUAAGGUGAAGAAUUCAACGUGAAACGUGGAAACGAUGCCGGUAAACAUUGAAACAAUAAGAUAAGGAUUACAACAUGAAACGAUAGAAAAUAAA